rnacentral:snRNA from 1 species
AUACUUACCUGGCAGGGCAGCAGGUUUCCCAGGGUGAGGCUCAUCCAUUGCACUCUGGGUGUGCUGUCCCCUGUGAUUUCUCCAAGGACAGGAAACUCGGCUGCAUAAUUUGUGGUAGUGGGGGAUUCUGUUCGCACUAUACCCUG